GAUAUUGCACAAUGGAGGGAACUCUGAUGCAGCGAUGCCGCGUGGAGGAAGAAGGUUUUCGGAUUGUAAACUCCUUUUGUCGGGAACGAAGAAAAUGACGGUACCCGAAGAAAAAGCUCCGGCUAACUACGUGCCAGCAGCCGCAGUAAUACGUAGGGGGCAAGCGUUAUCCGGAUUUACUGGGUGUAAAGGGAGCGCAGACGGAACGACAAGUCAGAUGUGAAAGCACGGGGCUCACCCCCGUGACUGCAUUUGAAACUGCCGUUCUGGAGUACUGGAGAGGUAAGCGGAAUUCCUGGUGUAGCGGUGAAAUGCGUAGAUAUCAGGAAGAACACCGGUGGCGAAGGCGGCUUACUGGACAGAUACUGACGUUGAGGCUCGAAAGCGUGGGGAGCAAAC
rnacentral:rRNA from 1 species